rnacentral:rRNA from 1 species
CCUACGGGGAGGCAGCAGUGAGGAAUAUUGGUCAAUGGACGAGAGUCUGAACCAGCCAAGUAGCGUGAAGGAUGACUGCCCUAUGGGUUGUAAACUUCUUUUAUAUGGGAAUAAAAUGUUCCACGUGUGGGAUUUUGUAUGUACCAUAUGAAUAAGGAUCGGCUAACUCCGUGCCAGCAGCCGCGGUAAUACGGAGGAUCCUAGCGUUAUCCGUAUUGAGUGGGUUUAAAGGGGGCGUAGGUGGAUUGUUAAGUCAGUUGGGAAAGUUUGCGGGCAAACCGGAAAAUUGCAGUUGAUACUGGCAGUCUUGAGUACAGUAGAGGUGGGCGGAAUUCGGGGUGUAGCGGUGAAAUGCGUAGAUAUCACGAAGAACUCCGAUUGCGAAGGCAGUUCACUGGACUGAAACUGACACUGAGGCUCGAAAGUGUGGGUAUCAAACAGGAUUAGAUACCCGAGUAGUC